GGGGGUUAGCAGCCCUCAGAGCCCGGUAUCAGUACCUCCUCGGCCUCUGCCAGAGAGGCGCCUGCCUGUGCCGUCCUGGCCCACACCAGGAAGCCAUCCUCGGGUGUCGGCUGGAGCAAACAGCACCAGGAAUGAAGUGACCCCGAGAGAACAAAUCACUUCGCGAGAAGGAUGGGUUCUCGUGUUUUUAUCCUCAACAGAAUCCGAAAAAUUAAAAACGAAUUUGACGCUGGAUUACUUUGUGAUGUUUGGCAUCUAAGCUGGACACAGUUGAAGAAAUGGACGGGCCUCACUAGAAAAAAAAAAAAAAAAUCCCUUCCAGUGUCAUCCAGCCAGCAUGUGCAUUCUGUAAAAAUGAAAAACGGGAUGCUGGUGUCUGUCUGGUUUUCGCAAUAAACAACAUCCAUCUGUGGGUGCAUUGACUCAAUGAGGAGGAGAAAAUAUCUAAACACCUCAUUACGAGAGAGAUGCCUUUCUAAUAACAUUUAGCCUUUUGUGGCUAAUCAUCAUUUAUCAAAAUUGUAAUACCCACAUUACUGUGAUUUGUGUGCUAAGAAUAAUUGUAAUGACCACCUGGUGGAGGGGGGGAUAUUUGAUCAGAGCCUCAUGACCGUGGAAGUGGUAAAGUUUUAAUGUUUUAAUUUAUGCAUAUCGUUGUUUUAAAACAUGAUCGGAGGAUUAUUAUGAGGCUUUACUCGCAUACAACUGAUGCUGGCACGACACGGGUUUGAACUGAGUGUGGGUCCACGUAUAUGCGGAUUUUUUUCUAUCGCUAUAUGAAUAGUACUAUCGAUGUAGUUUCCCUUUCUUAUGAUUUUCUUAGUAAUAUUUUCUGUUUUUUAGCUUGCCUUAUUAUAAGAAUACAGUAUGUAAGGCAUAUACCAUACAAAA